CUAUGUUCACAUUAAGGAUCAAGUAAUAUGAGCUGCUUGGUGGAAAGGUAUGAUCAAAUUUCAAAGUUUCAGAUUUUGCAUCGUUGAGGAUUUCAGCCCAGAAGUAUUGAGGGAACGGAUGGCUUUUAAACCACAGAUAUCAGAACUUUAUGAUUUAGAUUUAUCGGUAACUCGAAGUUGUUGACUCAUGCUGCAAUGCCUCCAAGAGUCGUUGGGUGGGAUUCCUACCUGUUUGAAGCUUCUUUAAUGGACACCAAUUCUUCCUGCUCAACUGCUGUCUUGACGUGUGCGGCAGAUCCACAGAUAAAAACUAUAUUCCACAGGAAUACAGGGUUCUUUUGAAGACUCUGACCUGGAGUUGCACACUGAGUACGGUUCUUUGCGGGAAAGGGACUCGCUCUUGGGGUUUCACGACUGGUCAUUAUUCGGCACGCCAAGGGUUUGGCUUAAGAGCUCAGCUCACCUUCAGAGGACUAAGUUUUCCUGGCUCUGGAGUCGGGCGGAUCAUAGGUCAAUGUCCAGGCAGGAAAUCGGUGUGUCGUGGGAGAUGGAAGAUCUAGGCUGUGUGCCCAAAGACCUGAGAUCUUUGGGCACUGAGCUCGGAAAAAGUGACGCAAUGGACUUUUAACAUCAUCAGCUAGCGAAUUGUUUGUUCUGUCUCCCCUCUCGCUGUGAAAUGGCAACACCUCUUUCUCCCUUAUUAGGGAGAGAGAGAACCUGUGGUAUGUCAAAUACGGGGUGAAACGUGAAGUCUUUGGAGCACUGCAAAUCUGUGUCUUAGCUGUUGCUUUGCUCACACUUGAGUGCUCGGUGGGGGGUGCCAAUGCUUUUUUUUGC